UAAACGUCCCAGUUCGGACUGUAGUCUGCAACCCGACUACACGAAGCUGGAAUCGCUAGUAAUCGCGAAUCAGAAUGUCGCGGUGAAUACGUUCCCGGGUCUUGUACACACCGCCCGUCACACCAUGGGAGUCGGUAACACCCGAAGCCGAUAGUCUAACGAAAGAGGACGUCGUCGAAGGUGGGAUUGAUGACUGGGGUGAAGUCGUAACAAGGUACC
rnacentral:rRNA from 1 species